GAAGGACGUUGUAACCUGCGAUAAGCCCUGGGGAGUUGGUAAACGAGCUGUGAUCCGGGGAUGUCCGAAUGGGGAAACCCAGCAGAGCGAACCUCUGUUACCCACAUCUGAAUACAUAGGGUGUGUGGAGGGAACCUAGGGAACUGAAACAUCUAAGUACCUAGAGGAAAAGAAAGAAAAAUCGAUUCCCUGAGUAGUGGCGAACGAAACGGGAACAGCCCAAACCGAAGCUUUCGGGCUUCGGGGUUGUAGGACCAGCAACGUAGACUCGAGUGUUUAGCCGAAGCGCACUGGAAAGGCGCACCAAAGUGGGUGAAAGUCCCGUAGGCGAAAAGCACGGAAGCUUAGCUGGCACCUGAGUAACUCAGGCCACGUGGAAUCCUGAGUGAAUCUGCGGGGACCACCCCGUAAGGCUAAAUAUUCCGACUGACCGAUAGCGAACCAGUACCGUGAGGGAAAGG
rnacentral:rRNA from 1 species